CAGGCAAACAGGGGCAUCAAGAUGGAGUCACAGUCCCAGGUCUUCAUAUUCCUGUUGUUCUGGAUGUCUGGUGCUGAGGGGAACAUUGUGAUGACCCAGUCUCCCAAAGUCAUAUCUACAUCUGUCGGAGACAUGAUCACUCUAGGCUGCAAGUUCAGUCAGAAUGUGUAUAAUAAUGUAGCUUGGUACCAACAGAAAUCAGGGCAGCCUCCUAAACUGCUAAUCUACUCUGCAUCCACUCAGCACACUGGGGUCCCUGAUCGCUUCACAGGGAGCAUAUCUGGGACAGAUUUCACUCUCAGCAUCAGCAGUGUGCAGGCUGAAGACCUGGCAGUUUAUUACUGUCAGCAGCAUAACAGCUAUCCUCCCACAGUGCUUCAGUAUCUCAUUGUUUAG